ensembl:vault_RNA Vault Vault RNA
GUGCUGGUUUAGCUCAGUGGGUUACUCCCUCAUAAAUGUUAUUUCCUGGUCUGCAGGCCGGAGGUACGACCCCGGGCGCUGUCCAGUGCUUUU